GACGAACGCUGGCGGCGUGCCUAAUACAUGCAAGUAGAACGCACAGGAUGCACCGUAGUUUACUACACCGUAUUCUGUGAGUUGCGAACGGGUGAGUAACGCGUAGGUAACCUGCCUGGUAGCGGGGGAUAACUAUUGGAAACGAUAGCUAAUACCGUAUAAGAACAUUUACUGCAUGGUAGAUGUUUAAAAGGUGCAAGAGCAUCACUACCAGAUGGACCUGCGUUGUAUUAGCUAGUUGGUGAGGUAACGGCUCACCAAGGCAACGAUACAUAGCCGACCUGAGAGGGUGAUCGGCCACACUGGGACUGAGACACGGCCCAGACUCCUACGGGAGGCAGCAGUAGGGAAUCUUCGGCAAUGGGGGGAACCCUGACCGAGCAACGCCGCGUGAGUGAAGAAGGUUUUCGGAUCGUAAAGCUCUGUUGUUAAGGAAGAACGUGUGUGAGAGUGGAAAGUUCA
rnacentral:rRNA from 1 species